rnacentral:rRNA from 1 species
UACAGAGAGGGCAAGCGUUGUUCGGAAUUACUGGGCGUAAAGGGCGCGUAGGCGGCCGCCUAAGUCAGACGUGAAAUCCCUCGGCUCAACCGGGGAACUGCGUCUGAUACUGGGUGGCUUGAAUCCGGGAGAGGGAUGCGGAAUUCCAGGUGUAGCGGUGAAAUGCGUAGAUAUCUGGAGGAACACCGGUGGCGAAGGCGGCAUCCUGGACCGGCAUUGACGCUGAGGCGCGAAAGCCAGGGGAGCAAACGGG